UUCCUACGGGAGGCAGCAGUGAGGAAUAUUGGUCAAUGGACGAGAGUCUGAACCAGCCAAGUAGCGUGAAGGAUGACUGCCCUAUGGGUUGUAAAAUUCUUUUAUAUGGGAAUAAAAUGUUCCACGUGUGGGAUUUCGUAUGUACCAUAUGAAUAAGGAUCGGCUAACACCGUGCCAGCAGCAGCGGCAAUACGGAGGAUCCGAGCGUUAUCAGGAUUUAUUGGGUUUAAAGGGAGCGUAGGUGGAUCGUUAAGUAAGUUGUGAAAGUUUGGGGC
rnacentral:rRNA from 1 species